rnacentral:lncRNA from 1 species
ACUUCAUAGUUUUAAAUUUCCCUUCUGAGGCAUUUUCUCCAUUUUUUAGAGCACUUAAGUAAAUCCUGCAAUAUUGGGAAGGACAUUGGCUCUUCUCGUGGUCUUCUCUGCCUGUCUACAUAAAGAAGGUGUAAGCAGUCAUAAGCUUUUGGUUUCUUGGGUCACUUUUAGUCAUCCUGAUGUAUUGUUCUCUAGGAAAUGCAGAGCACAGCACAAGGUUCCCUGCCCUCAAACUAGCUCUAUCUAUGAUAACCAACUUUUAUAUAAUUGUUACUAAUUAACAAUGUUAACAAUAAAUAAUGGCAGUCUUUCUGGAGUCUUCCCACUCUAAAAAUCCCAUUCUAAACCUAGGUAAUCAUUAAUCUAUUUCUUUUAUGUAUAAAUAAGUCUUUAUGUGAGUCAUCUUAUAAAUGAAAUAUACAAUAUGAGCUCUUUUUACUGAACUUUUUCAGUUAGCCUGAUGUCAAUACUCAUCUGUGUUGUCAGAUUCAUUAAUGUGUUGAAUAGUAUUGAUAGUAAUUGUAAUGAUAAAACUAUUUAUCCAUUCAUCCACUAGUAGACAUUUGGGGAGUUUUCUACAUAGUUAUUAUGAAUUCUGCUAUGAACAGUUGUUCUCAGGAUUCUAUAAUACAUGUUUUCGUUUCAUGGUGUAUGGGAGUAAAAUUCUGGAGUCACCCAGUAGCUUUGUAUUUAACUUUUGACAAACUACAAACUGUUUUCCAAAGUAGCUGUACUAUUUUUCACUCUCCAGAACAUGUAAGGAAAGGCUCAGUGUUCUUCACCAACAUUCAUGUCUUAGACAGGUGGCUGCGAUGUGGUGUUUCACUGUGAUUUUAAGUUCCUUCUAGCAGUUGAUAUUGGUUAUUUUUUUCAUGUGCCUGUUGGCUGAGUGGGUUUGUCUUUUGAAGAUGUUUGCCAGAUACUUUUCCAGCUUCAUAACUGGGUUGUCUUUUUAUUAUGGAAUUAGGUUGUAGAAAUUUUAAAUCCCAACUCAGGGUUUCUACACUGCCUUUGACCAUUUUAGUUCCCAGAUAAAACACACACACAACCUUUAUAUUUACAGUAAGCCUUAAAUUGCACAAGAGCAGGGCAGAUACCUGCCCUCUAUGCUAUUAGAAUCUACUUUCUUAUGAUAAUCCCAAGUUAUUACUUACAAUGUUUCAUCUAGGCUGCUCUUAACUCCAAUUGGCCAGCCUUCAGGCCAACGUUUUUAUGGCUCACCUAACCCAUGGCUGCUUCUCUUCUUCCUACACUUCCUCUCUUGGUUUUCCUCAGACCCCAAGCCCUGGAAACCUAAACCUUACCUCUGUCUCUUCUGCCUAGCUAUUGGCUGUUGGCAUCUUUAUUUACCAACCAGAAAUAGCUUGGGGUCAGAGUCACAGGUCUUUGUGAGGACUCCAGAUCUUGGGAUCCACCACUUAGCAUUAUAAUAGAUAGCAAGACCAAACCUCAACAGAAUUAGAAGAGCUCCUAAUGUAGUCUACACACAGGUCCUCUAUGAGCUGGAUCUUUUGUAUUUGCUCCCAUUCUGGGGAUUGAUUUUGUUUGUUUGUUUGUUUGUUUGUUUUUUGACAGUGUCUCACUGUUGUUCUGGCUGUCCUGGAAGUCACUUUGCAGACCAGGUUGGCUUUGAAAUCACAAAGAUUUCCCUGGCUCUGCCUCCCAAAUGCUGGGAUUAAAGAGUGUAAUACCUACUUCUUUUCACUUUCUUAGUCAUUUCUGCAGCUUGUAGACUUAAUGAUAUCUAAUUUUUAUAUAUUUGUGGCCUGUGUUUUUUGCUAUAGUCUGAAAAGCCAUUCCUUGAUCCUGGGCCACAAAUGUUUAUCUCACAUGUUUUGUUACAAGUUUUAAAAGUGUUGGUUUUAUAUUUCAAGUUACUAUUCAGUUGGGGCUAAUGUGUGUCAAAGGUCAUUCUUUCACAUGUGGAUACCUAGUAUCCCACUAUCACUUGUUAAAGACGACCAUUUGGCACAUAGAAUUGACUGGAAACGUCAGAGCUUCCUUGUAAGAUCUCUGUUGUGUUCCAUUCAUCCUGUGCCUGUCCUUGUAUAGAAUAUUUCUACAAUACUAUAACUUUGUGAUAAGUUUGAAGUUGACAAGUGUGAGCCCUUUUUUUCCUUUUUUAAAAAGAUAAUUUUACUUUUCUGAGUCCAUACAUUUCCAUAUGAGUUUUAAGGUCACUUUUCUACCAAAAACAAAACAAGACAAAACAACAAUAACAAACAAAACAGCAAAACAAACAAACAAACGAACACACAAAAGAGUAGCUGGAUUCUGAUAGGAAACAUACUGAAUUCCUGAUUAACUUGUGAAUAAUUGGCAUCUGACCCAUGAACAUGGAGUGAGAUCUCAUAUGUGUAUGGCUUUAAUUUUUCUUGGCUAUGUUUUACAUUUACAGAGGACAAAAAUUGUAUGUAGGUUAAACAUGUUCCUAAUGCUAUUAUAUUGAUGUUAUUGUAAACGAAAUUACCUUUUGUCCCUUUUUUUUUUCCAGUUUGAGCCUGGUCUUAUGUAACUUAGGCAGGCCUCAAACUCAGUAUGUAGUCAAGAAGAGCCUCUCCUGUUUCUAUUUUUUUGAGUGCUGAAAUUAUAGGCAUGUACCACCAUACCCACUUGAUGCAGUGCUGGGGAUUGAACCAGGGACUUUGUGAGUACUGAGCAAGAACUACAUCUUCAGCCCAGAAUUUUGUUUUUUAAUUAUAGUUGUGGGGCAUAUUGUGUGUGUGUAUGUGUGUGUGUGUGUGUGUGUGUGCGCGUGUGUGUGCGCGCGCGCAGGGGGGGGGAGGGGGGUGACACUACUGUUUAAAUGUGGAGGUCAGAGGUCAACUUCAAAAGUUGGUUUUUCUCCUUCUACUGGGAUCCAAGGAUACAACUCAGGUUAUCAGACUAGUUCACCCAGUACUUUUAUCCACUGAGCCAUCUCUCCAGUGCCAGCCAAGAAUAUUUUAUAUGUUGAAUCGUGUCAUCUUAAAAUAGAACCUUACUUCCAGCUCAGCAUUUUGUUUCUUUUUCUUGUCUAAUUACUAGUCUUGUUACUGGUUAGAACAUCAUGCACAAAAUUGUACAGUACUUUAAGAGCAAAGAAUUUUUAAAUCUUCAUGGCAUUUAUCAGAUUUGAUGAUGUUCCCUUUAAUUACUAGCUUACUGGGUGUUGUUAUCCUGGAAUUGUCGGGUUUUAUCUGAUUCUUUCCUGCUUCUAGUAGUAUUAUGUAUUCUUUGGUUUUUGUUUUUUCUUUUUUUGGUUUUUUGGUUUGUUUUUCUUUUGGGUGUUUUUUUGUUGUUGUUUUUUGUUUUUUGAUCAGGGCCUUGCCAUGUAGACUAAGCCAGCUUCAAACUUAUGCUCUUGCCUUAAAAAAAAAAUUAAUUGCUUUUCUUGUGUUAAUACAACAUUAUUUUCC